rnacentral:rRNA from 1 species
ACUCAAAGGAAUAGACGGGGACUUGCACAAGCAGUGGAUUAUGUGGUUUAAUUCGAUGGUAAACGAAGAACCUCACCAGGGUUUGAAACCUACGUGAAAGCUCCGAGAAACCGGAGCCCUCGCAAGACUAGUAGGCAGGUGCUGCAUGGCCGUCGUCAGUUCGUGGUUUGAAUUGUUCCCUUCAGUGGGGUAACGAACGCAACCCUCGUCGUGUGUUACAAGUGUCACACGAGACUGCCCCCUCUCGGGGGAGGAAGGUGAGGAUGACGCCAGGUCAGCAUGGCCCUUUGACACCCUGGGCUACACACAUAAUACAAUCGCCGUUACAACAUGACGCAAUACCGUAAGGUGGAGCAAAUCAUUAGAAAAACGGCGCCAGUUCGGAUUGAGGUCUGCAACUCGACCUCAUGAAGCCGGAAUUGCUAGUAAUCGCGGGUCAGCUAUACCGCGGUGAAUACGUUCUCAAGUCUUGUACACACCGCCCGU